rnacentral:rRNA from 1 species
UACGUAGGUGGCAAGCGUUGUCCGGAAUUAUUGGGCGUAAAGCGCGCGCAGGUGGUUUCUUAAGUCUGAUGUGAAAGCCCUGGGCUCAACCUGGGAAUGGCAUUGGAUACUGGCGAUCUAGAGUGCGGUAGAGGGCAGUGGAAUUCCCGGUGUAGCAGUGAAAUGCGUAGAGAUCGGGAGGAACAUCUGUGGCGAAGGCGACUGCCUGGACCAGCACUGACACUGAGGCACGAAAGCGUGGGGAGCAAACAGG